UACGGGGGGGGCAAGCGUUGUUCGGAAUUACUGGGCGUAAAGGGCUCGUAGGUGGCCAACUAAGUCGGACGUGAAAUCCCUCAGCUUAACUGGGGAACUGCGUCCGAUACUGGAUGGCUUGAGUUUGGGAGAGGGAUGCGGAAUUCCAGGUGUAGCGGUGAAAUGCGUAGAGAUCAUGAGGAAGACCAGUGGCGAAGGCGGGUCUCUGGACAGUUCCUGACACUGAGACACGAAGGCCAGGGGAGCAAACGGG
rnacentral:rRNA from 1 species